UCUGGCGGGGGGAUUCAGUUAGGAAAGGCGGAGGUGUCGUCCGGUCGAUUCCAACGGACCCUACCCGGGGCCGGGCCGGCGACACGGUCUCCGUUUUACCUGACGCAUUUCCUCCCGCACUAAGGACGCCGCAGCCGGUUGGGUAGCUGCGUGAGUCGGCCAUGAGGACGGGCGCCGGCAGGUGGCCGGUGGCGUCGCUUCGGCUUCGCCGCCGGUUGUUAGCCAGUCCGUCCGUGGCGCGACACCCGACCGAGGUUAAAUGGUUCCCGUAUGGGAACUCGCCGUCCCCUGCUUCUCUCGGGAGGCAGCGGGCGCUCUGGCAGGCGCAUCGCGGUGUUGCCACGUCACUCCUCGUAGUGGCCGGUGCUCCGAGGGUGCUGUUGGCUGGAAGCGUCCCGCGGGGGUGCAUGCGGCUAGCGGCGAGUAGGUCGGUCACCCACCCGACCCGUCUUGAAACACGGACCAAGGAGUCUAACAUGUGCGCGAGUCACGGGGUCUUGAUUAGGCCCAGAGGCGCAAUGAAAGUGAAGGUCGACCUCGACGUCGGCUGUGUUGGGAUUUCUCGCCUCUCGGGGCGGGGAAGCACCAACGACCCGUCCUAUCCGAUUUAUCGGUUGGGCGGAGUUUGAGCGUACACGUUGGGACCCGAAAGAUGGUGAACUAUGCCUGGGCAGGACGAAGCCAGAGGAAACUCUGGUGGAGGUCCGUAGCGGUUCUGACGUGCAAAUCGAUCGUCAGACCCGGGUAUAGGGGCGAAAGAC
rnacentral:rRNA from 1 species